CUUCCGUUGAGAGAAGCCUGAAAUAUCCAAGUGCUGCAAAAUGAUGAAGGCCGUGCUCGCUCUUGUUUUGGCUAUGGUAGCCAUCGCUUGCGCCUCGACCGGCGUCGAUGUCAUUCGCCACACUCCCGGAUAUGAUGGCUUCUAUGGUCUCUACGGAUAUGCACCCUAUUAUUAUGGAUACGGAAACGGAUAUUUCGGAUAUGAUGGACUUGGUUUCGGGCCUUACAACUACUUGGGAAGAUAUGGUCUCGGAUACCGAGGAUACUUGGGAGGACUCGGUUAUUUUUAAAAAAACACAGAAGUUAACAAUCCUAAUCCGAAACGAUGAUUCAUCUGACAUAUGAAUCAAUUAUCCAGAAAUGAAA